CUUAACAAAGCACGCAAUUUGAUAAUAAAAUUCAAGAGUUAUUCGUUUGCAAGACGAUUCAUAGUUAAAUUACUGACCAAACUGAAAAUGUUUGACAAUGAAACAAAACACGAUUCUUGGGCUUUACACACAAAACCAAUUUCAUUCCCAAGUAAGACAGACACAAACACAAGACAGGUACUACCUCGAAACACAGCUACUUGACAUGAAUACCCGGGAAAUAUUUCUGCUCUUGGCCAAACCCUGGAUUUUCGGAAGGGUUUCUUAAUCCUCCUGGGAGGUUGAUAAUAACCGCUGGAUGAGUGGAUGUCACCUGCACAGACACAAACGACAACCAAACAAAACCAACUAUUUCUUAAUUUGUCUAGUGCCACGCAAUUACUUUUACUUGCACUUUGUAUAAGUACACCAAACACAAAAAUGAACAAAUAAAAUUUCUAACAGGA